UUAACUAAAUUUAAAUAUAAAUUUGAUUUUCUAUAUGCCAUAUAUUUUAUUAUUAAAAUAUUAUUAAAUUAUUAUUUAAUAAAUAUUAGAUUAUAAUAUAAUUCUUUAUAAUAAAUUAUAUUAUUUAAUUAAUAUAUUAAUUUAUUAUUUAUUAUUUAUUAAUAUUUAUAUAAUCUUUAUAGGAAUUGAACCUAAUAAACCAUUAAGAUUUAAUUAUUUAAUUAUUUAAUUUAUUUAAU
rnacentral:tRNA from 1 species